rnacentral:rRNA from 1 species
AGGACGAACGCUGGCGGCGUGCUUAACACAUGCAAGUCGAACGAGGUGCUUCGGCAUUUAGUGGCGAACGGGUGAGUAACACGUGAGCAACCUGCCCUUGGCUCUGGGAUAGCCUCCGGAAACGGGGAUUAAUACCGGACAUGACCUGCUCCUGCAUGGGGGCGGGUGGAAAGUUUUUCGGCCAGGGAGGGGCUCGCGGCCUAUCAGCUUGUUGGGGGGGUAACGCCCACCAAGGCGACGACGGGUAG